GAUCUUGUGGCCGACUGAUAAAGCUUGCGACUUUGAUUCGUCAGGGCGUAGGUUCGAGGCCUGCCACGAUCU